rnacentral:rRNA from 1 species
UACGAAGGGGGGCUAGCGUUGUUCGGAAUCACUGGGCGUAAAGCGCACGUAGGCGGCUUCUUAAGUCAGGGGUGAAAUCCUGGAGCUCAACUCCAGAACUGCCUUUGAUACUGAGAAGCUUGAGUCCGGGAGAGGUGAGUGGAACUGCGAGUGUAGAGGUGAAAUUCGUAGAUAUUCGCAAGAACACCAGUGGCGAAGGCGGCUCACUGGCCCGGUACUGACGCUGAGGUGCGAAAGCGUGGGGAGCAAACAGG